AAUGAACACUUCUUCUAGAACACCAGGCAAGAAUAAAGGCCCAGAAACCUUUUAUUCAGUCUACAGCUUCCUGGAAAUCCAUCAAAUCUCUGCAAGAGUCUCUGUCCCUGGGGGAAGAUUGUAGUUAAUGUUUUAUUACUAGUUAUGUUGUAUGAGAGUCAGAUUUAUUUAUACAUUUAACUUAUCAUUUUUCAGUCGGAUGCUGACACUGUAGUCGGCCUCAUCGCUCCUGAAAUGAGCGGGAGAAGAACCUUCAGGGCUGCCAUAGUCAAACUUUAAGGACUUUGUUGAAGAUGUGGAAACUGCAGGAGGAAUGCAGGAAAAGUAAGCGGCAGUGCACGGUGAAUUAGUAGGAGAGAAAGACGGACAAGAAGUUGAGCCAUCUAGUCUAACAGUUCCCACUGUCCCUAAAGUUAUGCCAUGGGAAAGUGGCACAUCCCAAAUUAUGCUGAGCCGCAGGUCACCGGUCUAUGGCCCAUGAAAUGUCCUUCAUUUUGUCAACAAAGCAGCAUGGUGCAUCGUCCAGAGACAUACAUAUCUUUUCCAUAAAAUGUUCAAACUAGUUUUCAUUGGGACGGCAGAUAAAGCAAUCACUUACAUGUGAACACAGAAUCCUACUCAUUGCUUAAUUGCGUCACUUGUUUCUAUUUGAAGGUUUAUUUUCUGUCAAAAGGAUCACCUUUUCCCAUAGUUAAAACGUUUUUUUUGUACAUUUAAUGACUGCAACCAUUUGUAUUUCAACAGUUCCAUUUUAGUUAUUUAAAUAAACUUUGUCCAUAGUGUGGUGGCAGAAUUUGG